UCUUCCCUUCCUGAAAAUACUGCCCUUUGCAAAAUGUGGGUGGAAAUUUGGGAAAAUGUGCCUUUGGAAACAGAGGUUCACUUUUCUUCUUCAGAGGAGAAAGUUAUUACCCUCUGGAUUUUAUGGGGUCUUGAAGACAGAGUUCAUAUGGUGGAGAGACAUUUCUAUGAGUUUUUCAGAUGGACAAAGUUCCACUGAUUUUUUACAGAUUUGAUAUAUUCCCUCGAUUUAGAUAUCUGGGACUUCAUGGAUUCUUUUUUUGAGGAGAUAUUUGACCGGGGUCUUGGACUGUCGAGAAUUUACCUGGCGUUCACAACCCUCUUCAGUGUUUUGAAGUGCAGAGAGUCCGUGAUGGAGCUCAUUGCUGAGUGCAGGGGGCGUGCUCCCUUCCUGCCGGACCCAGCAGGAGAGAAACCUGUACACGGACACAAACUGCUGGUUUCCAGCCCCCCUGAUGCAGGGGGCGAUGAACCCAUGGCUGAGUUUUUUUCUGCACCUUUGGAGCAUGCUCAAAGGGAGCCGCUUUCCCCCCCGCCUCCUUCUCCCCGGGGGGAUGGGGAGCCGGCCCCGCCACCUUCCGGGCCAGCCCCACCCGCUCCGCCGCAGGAUUCUCCGCUCCCCCUGCUCUGGGAGGCAGCGGCUGCCGCUCCCACCCCCACCGGAAGAGCCAAUCGCCGCACCAUCUCCGGCGGCGCUGCCCCGUCCAGCCCCGCGGCCCCGCCGUCUUCGGCAGAGUUUGUCGGUGUUCCGACCUCGGAAGCACCGCCUCCCGCAGCUUCGCCUGUGUUGCUAGGCAACGCAAUUGACUGCAGCGGCGAUCGUCAAGAGCCUGUCUCAGAGAGGAAGCAUGUCUCUUCGGUUGUCUGCCCGCCUGAGGACGCCCUGGGGGCCGACCCUGCGGCCGCGCCGCCCCCCCCCCCCCCCCCCCCCGCCUGUCCCACCGCCUCCCGGACCGGCUCCGCUAGCUCUGAUGACUGCGCCUGCACUGCAGCUUCCGGAACCAAGAGAAGACGUGGCUGCUGUGCCCAGCCCGGCGGGCGAUGCGCUCCCGCCGGUCCGGGUGACCCCGCCGGCCCCACCAGCUCCCCCGGCUCCCGGCUGUCCUGCUGCCUUCUGGGGCUCCGUCCCUCGCGUCUGCGUCAGAGACUGUGCUGGAGCCAGCGGCAUCUCUGAGUUCACCAGACCACCCCGAGCCGUCUGCCCCCGGGGCUGCGGCUGGGAUGGCGGCGCUGACGAACAGCAGCGGAAGCGGCCCAGCUCGACUACUGACAGCCGGUGCCGCACGGCUGACCACUUUCAAACUCAGUGUUUUUUGCGGGCCAAUUCGUGUUUGGUCUGGGGUUCUUGCUGAGGUUUGUGGUGCCUGCCUCCCCCCCCGCAUGCCCUGGCGGCAUGGGGGAGGGGGGUCCCGAAGGUUCUGCCUCCAGCCCCGAGCCCGAAGCGGGUUGGGGUGGUGGCGAGGGGCAGAAAGCAGGAACACUGGCAUUUGCACUUCAGGGGGUGAGAGAAACAGUGCAAAGCAAGCAUUGCUCACUUGCUGUGGGGACAGAACAUCCCCAGAUCCGGGAUCAAGAUUCCUGGGAAACCUUCGCUUCCCCAGCUGUCGGCGCGCACUGGUGGUGCUGGGGGGACGAAGCGUUUGGUCACUCUUGCUCCCAAGGCAUGGUCGUGCUGGGUUGUGAGAACACAGGGCUCACCUCAUGGGCCAGUUCUGGGCCGUUUGACUCGUUUUCCUCGGCCAGGGCCUCUGCCUCGCUCAGUGUCAAGUUUGGAGGUUUUGCUUCCCCCAUCAGGGCCCGGGCCACUGUUUUGUGGGCCGGGUCUGGGUUCCCUAGUCCGCCCACCAGGACCAGGGCCACUGCAGGUUCCUAAAAGGCCCUCUGCUGCUGCUGCUCUUUUUAAAAAAAAAAAUGUGGAAAGAGCUAGCAGCUCAAAAGCAUUGAAAAGCCAAAAAAUAGCCUCAGCCCAAGUGCUUCAAUUGAGGGCUGUGGCCAGGGCCUUCCAGAAAUUUUCUCAGAAUUGUUUGAUAACUGUCAAUGGAUUUUUAAUACUUCUUGAUAAUUUUCUUUAGCAGUUCUUUGUUUCAGGAUUCUGCAAGUCUGUUUCAGGACCAAAAGGGACUUCCAGAGAUGUCAAAGAGGAACAUCUUCAGUCCAUGGACUAUCUCCUGAAACUCAGCUGUUUGGACUUGAAACAAUGAACAUUCUUUGCAUGGGUUUUUUGCAUUUUCUUAUAUUGUAAGCUUGUUUUAGUGAUAUGAUAGAAUUUGAUGUUCUACAGGUGAAGAAUUUCCCUGAAUGUUCUACAGGUGAAGAAUUACUGUGACCAUUCCACAUCAGCAGUUGAUUGAGGUUUUGAUUGGCAACAGAUAAACCUCAAGAAGUGUUUGUUCUCUCUUCUGCAUGGGCCCAGCAGAAGAAUUUACAAACACUUUUAAAUUUAAUUUAAUAACAAAGGGUGAAAUGUCUCAGACAUAUUUUAUGAAAAAUCCUUUUGCCAGGAUCUUUUCUUCUGAGAGGCUGGGAAGCUUCAGCUUCUCCAUGUUUUGCUGCUUUGGAAUGUGAUUUGGAGAAUUGUUUACCCAGCAUGUGAAAUUCUUUUUACUUGAUGACCAAUGACAGCUACUGUCGGAACCCAGGACACUCCUCUGGGUGCCCUGAAUAGCUCGAGAUCCUGGCAGGGGCUCGGAGACCCUGGCAGGAAGCCAAAGACACUUGGGAUUUCAAUCUUAACCCAUGGAGCAAAUUACCAACUUUAUAUGAAGAAUUACAAGUCACAAAAGUUUAAGUACCGUAAUAGUAUUUGUCACUGGGUGAAAAGUGGAAUUUUGAAGAUUUUUACUAUAGGGGUCUAGGAGGCAAGAUGGAGGGACUUGGGCGUUGUCCUGUUGUAGCAGGCCUAGGGCCUGCAAGGACUCCUUGGAGGUCAGAAGCCUGAGCUAGGAAAUGCCAAGUCAGCAUGACUGGACCCUAGCAGCCCCUCUCUUCCACCUUUUGGACCUUGCUUAUCUCUCUGUAAGCCUAUAGGUCACUUUCCGCUGACCCUUACUAUUGGACAGUUUUCAAAACCCCUGUAGGGUAUAAAAACCCCUGAUUCUGCCUGGUUCAGCAGAAGAGCUGUCACUGGGAACCUUCGCGGAACACCCGAAUAAAAGAACCCUGCGGAACCUCACACGGCCUUCUCCUCUCUCUCCCUGCGUCUGCUGCUGCGGCACCUAGCAAGCUAAAGAGCUGAAAAUCACUGAGCUGAUAAUCACUAAGAGCUGCAAAUCACUCUAGCUUGCCUAGGUUGCCUGAGCCCCCCGCUGAGCUAUCCUGGCUGGCCAGCAUUCUCUGCUGGGCUCCUGCCCUGAGGGUAAUGACCCGGCCAUAGUUGGCGCACCGAACAGCCAGGGCCUCUAGACCGACAUCUGAACCGCCGCGAUACCCUGGCCGCGGAACAGAAUGCCGCACCUGGCAUUUCAGAGGAGCAGCAUUUCUUCUUGAAAUUGUCACUGCCUCCGCUCGCCAGAAAUCCUGGAAGGAGAAACCUCCGUUUUAGUAGGACUUUUCCGGAAAGGAGGUCAGCCGAACCGCAACACCAACACCUGAGCACGCAAGUGUUCGUGGAGACUGACAAGCAGACAAUCCCCAGCAGAACUUUGACCCACAACUGGCUGAAGAGGUGUAAGUUUAAAACAGCCUUUCUUGCGUGCAAAAUACUUUUUUCCUUGGGUCCUUUUUUUUUUUUUUUCUUUUUUUUUCUCUUUUUUUCUGCUGGCGGGGAACGGGAACAUGGGAUCAAAGCUUAGUACAUUGAAAUGAUCCCAGAACAAGAGAGAUUUAUAUUUACUAAUCCUAGAAAUCCUAUCUUCUAACAACUUUUCUUUUUCUAAAGGUAACCUUUCAAAAACUAACCUGAAAAAAUUUAUAAAAUGGAUUCUCUGCCACUUUCCAGAUACUAAUACACAGACUAUCACCUUAGACUCCUUUUGGGAUACAAUUGGGACCACAAUAUAUAAGUUUCAAACUAGCCAAGAUUUUUCUGUAACCCGGUUUUUACCUAUAUUUCAUGUUAUAACUAAAGCUGUAGAAAAAACUAACAAAAACAUAGUAACUUCAGGGCAAACUUCUGUUGAACAAAGCGUGAAACUCUUAUCUGACUCAACAGAACCCCCUAUUUCAAAUGCUAAUCGCUCAGAUAACACCCCACCCACCCUGGAAUCCAGUACUCCUCUGGGUCCUAGCAUCCUGCCCUCCCCCACUACCCUUGCGCCGCACCCCCCCGACCCCGCCGCGCCCACGGCCCCUGCCCAACCCCUCCUCCCCCCCCGCCUCCCCCUCGGGAGCUACACCCUGCGCGCCUCCUUGCUCUGUGUUAUCUCCGAGAGCAUCUGCGCCAGUUUCCACCGGGUCUGACCCAAACCCCACUCUUUCUGCUGCCCCUCCUGUCCCUGGCGGGGCCCCCCUGACCCCCUCUCCCACCCCUCCCGCAUUUGCUUCCUCAGUCCCACCCACCACCCCUGCUGUCUCCCCCCCAACAUCGCGCCUUUGCCUGCCACCAGAAUCAUCCCCGCCCGCGUAUCUGCCCCAAACCCAAGCCACCCUGUAUCCGCAGCACCCUCCUCCAGUCCCGCCGCCUCCUCCGCUCCCGCGCUGAUCCCUUGCCCCCAUACCCAGGCUCUGAAGCCACACACCCACCCUCAGGGAUCCCCGGUCAGGACCCCCCAGACUUCCUUCAGUUCUACCCCACCCCCCCACGCUCCCCAGUUCUGUGCCUGCUGUGCCACGCAUUGCACGGCCACUCCAGCCCUGCUGCCUCCCUGUAGCCACGUUCUGCCAUGUGCUGCCUUACACUCUGACCAGCCACAUGCCCCUCUGCCAAAUGUUGCUCCAGCCUGCCAUAAGAAACAUAAGGCAAGGCCUGAUAGCUCUCACUUCUCGUCAUCUGACGACAGCAGUGACAGCGAUUCUGAUUUGGAAAUAGAGUAUAUUGAUCCAUGGGCAAAAAUAAAAAUGGAAGCGACGCAGGCAGGGGACUGGCAAUUAUCUCAGAGAAUUACUGCCUUUCCAGUAGAUUAUAAAAAGGGAAAAAGAGGAGGUGCUACUACUAGAAAGACAUGGGAACCUAUUACAAAUAAAGAACUAGUGCAACUAAGAAAUACAGCCAAAGAACAUGGUAGAAGUUCAAAUAUUUUUAGAAAUUUCCUAGAAGCUACGUUCUCAGCACAUGUUCUGGUACCCCACAAUAUUAAAAAUAUUGCCCAGUGCCUCCUUUCUCCCGCCGAGUACAUGCUUUGGGAAAGGCAUUGGAAAAAGCAAUUAAAAACAUUAUCAGAUAACUACGCUGCAGAUGCUGAUAAGUCAAACUUUACACUUGAACAACUGGCUGGCGAAGGGGAUUUGCAGAAACCCUCUGACCAAGCUGAUACCUUACCUAAGGCAACACUACAAGACGUGGCUAUAGCAGCAAAAACCUCCUUACUCCUUACCCCUGAUGACUCUACCCCUACCCAAUACUUUUCUACUAUUAAACAAGGAAUAGAUGAAAGCUUUAUCAAAUUUGUGGAUAGAAUUAAGGAUGCUCUGGAAAAACAGAUAGAGAGCACAGAGGCAAGAAAAGAACUGUUAUGUAAGCUUGCCAUGAGUAAUUCGAAUGAAAAAUGUAAAGCAAUUCUGAGAGCCUUACCCUUAGACACAGAACCUACCACAGAGCAAAUACUGGAAAGCUGUACACGCCACUUGUCCACUGAAGAUACAGUGGCCCAAGCAGUUACUAAGGGUGUUGCAGAAGGAGUUUCUAGUGCAUAUGCAGUAAUAGCUUCUAAAGACCAGGUCCGCUGCUACUACUGCGGAAAUUUUGGACAUUUUAUAAAGGACUGUCCAGAGAGGUCACCUCCUAGGUACCCUCGCAAUUUCCACCAAAGGCCCCAAAAUCAGCAGUACUAUCAGCCGCGUCCGGGAAACUUCCAUCGGAGCGUGGUGGCGCCCCACGCAAGAACACCAAAUCAAAGGCCAUCCAGACCCAGUCACGCACCAUCCCAGGGGAUUCCAGACCACAUGAGGAGGACCCAACACACGGAGCGAUACCGAGGGGAACCCACCGCCAACUGAAUCACAGGGAACAGCUUCCUCUCAACCCCACAGCAAUGUGGACACAAGUUGUGGGACCAAGUAAGCCUGUCCUCGAGUGCGGUCUUACCUGCAGAGGAGAGAAGGUCCACCUACCAGGGAUGCUGGACACUGGUGCCGACGUGACCAUCAUCGCCCGCUCAGAAUGGCCAGCACACUGGGAUCUACAACUUGUGGCAGGCAUGAUUACAGGGAUCGGUGGAGCUACAGUUUCCAUGCGGAGCAAGAACAACAUCCUCGUCGAAGGGCCUGAAGGCAAGUUGGCAACCAUCCGCCCAUUUGUGGUAAGGGCCCCCAUCACCUUGUAUGGACGGGACAUUUCAUGUCAGUGGGGUGCUUCCCUACGUAUUCCCAGUCCGGAUUUCUAAUUGGGGCCACUGAGGAGCGCGCACUGCCAGACACUCCUCGUCUCACCUGGAAAUGCCAUAAGCCGAUCUGGAUUGAGCAGUGGCCCCUCUCUAAAGUCAAACUGUGCGCACUGCAUGCCCUUGUGGAUGAACAGCUCGCCAAAGGCCACAUCGUAGAGACCACCAGCCCUUGGAAUUCUCCAGUCUUUGUACUACAAAAGCCUGUAACAGACAGGUGGAGGCUCCUCCACGAUCUUCGCAGAAUCAACGAGGUCAUCGAGGACAUGGGUCCCCUCCAGCCUGGCCUGCCCUCACCAUCGAUGCUGCCUAGAGACUGGGCACUUGCUAUCACUGAUAUUAAAGACUGCUUCUUCAGCAUCCCGCUGCAUCCUCAGGACGCUCCACAGUUUGCCUUCUCCGUCCCCUCUCUUAACAGAGAGGCUCCACUCAAAAGAUAUCAUUGGCGUUAUCUUCCUCAGGGACUUAAAUGCAGCCCCAGUAUAUGCCAGUGGUAUGUUGCUCACAUUCUGUCUCCUGUUCGGAACCUAUUCCCAGAUGCAAUCAUCCAUCACUAUAUGGAUGAUAUCCUGGUCUGUGCACCAGAAAAAACGUACCUGGACAAAGCAGUUAAAAGGACUAUUGAAACCAUAGAAAAGGCAGGAUUCGAGAUCCGUGAGGACAAAAUACAGUACACCAAUCCAUGGACUUACCUUGGACUCCAGAUCCGGGAAAGGACCAUCGUACCCCAGCAGCUCGCCAUCUGAGACGACCCAAAAACCCUGAGAGACUUACACAGUCUGUGCGGAUCCAUCAACUGGGUAUGUCCACUGCUAGGAAUUACAACAGAGGACCUCACUCCACUGUUCAACCUUCUUCGGGGCAAGGAGGAUCUGGACUCUCCAUGCACUCUCAUAACAGAGGCCCGAGAUGCCAUCACCAAGGUCCAAGAAGCCCUGUCUUCACGCAAAGCCCAUCGCUUCGAGCCCAGCCUGCCUUUCCAGUUUGUCAUUCUGGGAAAAGCACCUAGGUUCUAUGGACUGAUUUUCCAAUGGGACACUCAAUUUCGGGACCCUUUACUAAUCCUGGAAUGGAUCUUUACAAGUAACCAACCCACAAAGACAAUUACCACCUUCCAAGAAAUAAUGGCACAUUUAAUAAAAAAGGCUAGAACUCACCUCCGCUCCUUUGCAGGGUGUGAGUUCACAUGCAUAUAUUUGCCAAUGACCACUGGGGACCUGGAACAUUUGCUCCAGACCAAUGAAAGUCUCCAGUACACCUUAGAUAGCUAUACAGGCCAAAUUUCAGUACAUAUCCCAAAACAUAAUAUUUUUAAUCGUGAUGUAACAUUUCAUCUGACCCCAAAAUUAGUCCAAAGUAAAACACUUCUCAAAGCUCUAACCAUCUUUACAGAUGGCUCAAGGUCAUCCCAUGUGGAGGAUUUUGUGAACAGCUGGCUAGCUGACAAAGGUCACACUGACAUAAUACCGUUAGUUAAGCAAGAAGGAGAUGAGGAUAGGAGUCAGCAGUCAGUGUCCAAACCUGGCAAAGGCACUGUGCCCUUGGUGCAACAUCAGGAUGGGGGAGAGGAUCGUUAGUUAGAAACAUGAAGAAAAUAUGUGAACAGCUGCAACAUAGUAGCCUCAAGAAUGAUAAGGUAGGCGUAGUUAGCUGAUAAGUAACUAACCAAUAAUGAGCUCGCCUUUUGCAAUAUGUAUUAGCCUCAUUAACACCAAUAUAAAUGUAUGUGCCUAUCAAUAAAGUUUUGAGAUUUGCUGAUCACUCAUAUUGAGUGCCACAUUUCUUCCGCCGAUUACCACAAAUGGUGACCCCGGACGUUAAAUCGGUAACGGCAACCACGGUGGAUCGGUGAACGAGUUCGGGUCCUACAGCAGCAAGGACGGCGAAUAAGCACUGCUGAAAAAGCAAAAAGUGCCGCGCCCGGGGUGACCUUAUAGAAGAGCCCGGCCGAUACGUGCUGCCGAGACCUUGAAGGGCUGCAAAAACGUCGACGUUCUCAAAAAUGGAAAUGGAAAGGCAAGCAGCAUAUUAUUUAUUUACUUGCUUUUUAAAAAAGCGUCAGGUUAAUGACAUAGACUUGCAGAAAGAGCUCCCACAGUUGUUAGCUUACGAGUAUGCACAAGGAGUUUCUCAAAAUCCUUAUACAGUACAUGAAUUAACAGAGUGGCGUAAGUUCGGGACCAGGAGGGCGGUUACGCGCACCGCGGGAGAGCCCCGGGCAGACGUGGCGGCGAAAACGCGUGUGGUGGCAGUGGCAUGCUCGGUGUGGCGGUGGAGCGAACCGAGCGCUGCGGAGGCGGCGUGCUCGGUGCCGGCCGCGGGCACGGGCACCGCGGGUCCAGUGACGCGCACGGUGACAAAAACUUGCACGGCAGCUGUCCGUAGGGAAAGCACACAGAUCGUGAGGGAAGUGCCAGCCGGGGCCGGGCCGGCCAAAGCGAGACGCGGCAGCCGAAUAGGUGCUAGCGGCAGCGGACGCGCACCAGUAACGCGAAACCCGGAAGCUGGAGCUGGGAGGGCUUUUUCACUUUUUGCAAGCGCACAAAAGCACCAGCGGUGUGGGACGUGCUCCCGCUGGCUGCGGGUGUUGGUGCAGAGCCAGGGGGAACCAGCCCGAGCGGAGAUCCAGGCAGAGCGGAGCCCAAAGGAGAUCAGGGCUGCGCAGGUCCGGGCGAGAGCAUUCCUUUCCGCACCCCCGAGAUAGCGCAGACUGAAGCUGUGCUGGAGCAGGCAGGACAUGGGCGCGGGCUGACAUUCCUCAAAGCACCGCCCUGUCACAGCUGCCUGGCAACCACAGCAGCCAGCCGAUCGCAGCAAUUCAAACAAGUGUCUGAGAAAAAACAGGUCAAGAAUUUUCUUCAAGAUCAGGAUGAAAAACUUCUGAAAAUUCACACAGUGCUUCAUCCAGAUGUUAUACGGGGCAUUUUACCCAACUGUUCCACAGGCUUUACAGUUUGUUUACCAGUUUUUUUUUUGUAAAUGUGUUUGCGUUUUUAAAAGUGUUAGAGUAUUUGGGUUUGAUUGCUUAAAGUUUGAUGACUUCAUUGCCUUUCCCUUACCUGAGGCAAGAACAACCUUUUAAGGGAACAGAAUCUAAAUAAACUUCUUAGUUUCUGUUUGGACUACAUGUGAGAAGAUUUAAACUGUAAUAUUUCUGUAUACUAUGGUCUUUAUGGUCUUUGCUCUCUUCUAUUCAUUAAGAGAUGGCAUUAGAUAAAUGGAUGUAAAUGUGCUAAUUGUUUUUGUACUGUCCUUAUUUUAAGUGAAAUUAUUUGUGUUUGAAAUUAUCUGUCAUCUUUCUCAGUUCUGUUUUAAAAUAUCUAUGCAAACUGUCCAGCCUUACCAGCCUGUUAUCCUUCAGUUAAUGAUUGUUGUCAAUCAGUAAGAAAUCUCAGUAUAACAAAAUGCCAGCUUAAUUCAUUCAAAAAAAAAACAAAAACAAAAACAAAAAAGGAACUGCUUCUAUUGUAAAAAAUUAUUUCCAGGGAAACAAAAUGUCGUGUAAAGAUGAAAGUAUUAGUAAAGAUUUAAUUACCCAAGGUGUCUUGGAAGACAAAGCAUUUGGGAAAGGUCAAUCAGACCCUGUUGUGGGGUCAUCAGUCGAUUCCCCAAUGAUUCAAAGUUUUAAGAAUUAUUUAUAUUAAGUUUAUAACCUUUGUUAUUUUCGGUUUUUGUAAGUAAUGCUGAUAGAUAGUGAUUGUUGUUAAUACUAGAUGAAUACUUUGAGAAAGUUGUCUUAACCCCUUCAAGAACUUCUUGUUAAGGAGUUUUCAGAUUUUUGUGAUGAGAGUUGUUGUUGGUGUGUUGUUGUGGUGUUUUCAGCCGGCUUUCAUGUGUUUUUCUAUUUUUUUGUGUGAUCACCUGCAAGACACGUGUCUCUUCAAGAUCCUGUCUUUUAUUUCCUAACUAUUUAGAUGUUUCUGAGGGUUUUUAUCCAAAUUGCCAGUUUUGUAGUUCUUUUAAUUAUUAUUACAGGAAUACUCCAGCAGAGAAUUCAAGAAGUUUGCUGUGUUUAGAAAAUCUCUGUCUUGACAGAAACUUCAGAAGGAUUCAAUUGUUUGGUAGUUUAAUUAGUUUGUAACCCUAAAGUUUCUUGUUUAUAAGGAUUGUUUUUAAAAGUCCUGUUUAAAAAGUAUGUGAAGUGACACUCACCAAUUAGAGUUCGAGCUCUGGCCAAGCUCUAGCUCUAUUUAGAUGGAGUGAUUGACUUGGCAAUUUGACCAUCUAUGACGGCUGAGCCAUUUUCAGAGGUAAUUUGGAGAAACAUGAAUCCGGACAUGAUUUCUCCAAUUCUCUGUCAUUUUAAGUUUUAUCAGCUGUCGCAGACUCUGGGAUAAGAGUUCAGUGUUGUAGUGUUUGGUAAUUUUCUGAUCUUGUAUGUGUUGUUGAUUGUGUGUAUUAUCUGAAUUUAUUCCUAAUUACUCUUAUCUUAACAUUUCUCUAUGUAACAUUGCAAAAUGAAACCAGGACCCAUUCUUCACCUCUAAGAUUUUGAGACAAUUCUUCAGUCCUGCGGGGACGUGGGAUUUGUUUGUGUUUUAACAGGUGCAAAGUCCAGAUGAAUUUCAAUGAAGAAUGUGAAACUCUAUCAAAAGCAAGAGAAACGUUGACCAUUCAACAAGCAAAGAAGACAGACAGAUAUUGGUCUGUGUGAUGCAAGGCAGUGUCCGGAGACGAGACCUUAACCUCCCUAUACAACUGACAGUUUGGUGUGGAACUAAAUACUUACUAGGUGCACUUACUCAGCAAAACAGAAAAACGGGGGAGGUGUGGGCCUUGGAAUGGAUAUCUCCUCCACUUCAACAGCAUAAAACCCUUCUUCAAAAAAUUGAAAUUUUGGCUGAUUUGCUAAAGAAGGGUCGUGAACGGACACCACAGAUCAUGGGAAAGGAGCCUGAUCAGAUACGGGUACCAAUGAAGAAAGAUACAUUGAUCUGGUACCUGAUAAACAGUAUGGAAUUACAAGAGGCACUGUUGGGAGCCGGAAGUGUGAUUGCCACUGAUGAUAUCCCCAAUAUACCGUUGAAUUGGAUAGGGCAAUGGGGUUGGAUUCAAUGCCCAAAAAGGUCACAGAAACCCCUGUCGGAUGCUAUAACAGCCUACAUGGAUGCGGGAAGAAAAUCCAAAACUGCUGCAGUGACCUGGCAGGAAAAGGGACAAUGGCACCAUCAGAUUCUCCAGGCCUCCGAGUUGGAUACUUUACAAACGAUGGAGUUAUUAGCUGUUGUUUGGGCCAUGAUGCAUUUUUCUGGGCCCCUCAAUAUAGUGACAGAUUCUUUGUAUGUUGCUGGAGUAUGCGAGCAAAUAGAAGAUGCCUCUAUAAAAGAAGUUCAAAACAAGAGGUUACAUGAGCUGUUUAUACAGUUACAGAGGGCAAUUAAACUGAGGAAGUAUCCUUUCUCUGUCAUUCAUAUCAGAAGUCAUAAGUGGGAUAUUGGUCUGGGAGAGGGUAAUGCACGAGCAGAUAAGCUAGUCUCAAUCACACAUGUGACUCCAAUUCCCAGGCAGACUAUGGCCAGAGAGGCACACUCCAUGUUUCACCAAAAUGCAAAAGGCCUCCAUAGAGAAUUUCAGAUAUCUAUGGAAGAGGCACAGGCAAUAGUCAAAGCCUGUCCCAUAUGUAGUCAUCAUAAUGGGGGUUGCGGGUUAGGUCUAGGAGUUAACCCCAGAGGGCUGAAUACAAAUGAGACCUGGCAAAUGGAUGUCACACAUGUUGCUGAGUUUGGAAGGAUAAAGUAUGUGCAUGUUACUAUAGACACCUAUAGUCAUUUUAUAUGGGCCACAGCACAGACCGGUGAGAAAGCAGGGCACGUGGAGAGGCAUCUUAGUAGCUGCUUUGCAGUAAUGGGAGUGCCACGACAUAUUAAGACAGACAAUGGACCUGCCUACUGCAGCAAAAGAAUAAAACAGUUCAUGCAAAUGUGGGGGAUUGAACACGUGACAGGCAUCCCUAAUUCCCCGACAGGACAAGCGAUCGUAGAAAGAGCUAAUGGUACCUUGAAAAAAUAUCUAGGUAAAUACAAAGAUAUUAGAGAGCCGCAAGAGAGGUUGCUAAAAUGUCUAUUUAUCUUAAAUCACCUGUGUGUUUUUGAGGAAAGCAAAGUUCCUGCUGUAAUUCGUCAUUAUGUAAUAGAGAAAGAUAGUGUGAAGCAGGACGUAUGGGUAAAAUAUAGAGAUCCCAAGACAGGACAAUGGCAAGGUCCUGCUAAGGUAUUAUACUGGGGCCGCGGGUAUCUUUGUGUUUCUACCCCUACAGGAUCCUUGUGGGUACCUGCUAAAUGGACCCGAGCAGCUGUGUUAGAUGGAACCAGACCUCAGACAACUGAGCGAGGAGGACCGUCGGCGAGUGGAGGCAAAGCUGCUGAUCACCAUUCGACCGAUACUUCUCAAGCUGAAAGGACAGUGCAGCUUUGCCAUUGACCGAGCGAUUGAUCAGUGUCAAUCUCUGGACAGUAUACUAAGCCUGAUUCCGGCGCUUCAUACGUUUUAUUAUAGAGGGCCUAAGAGAUUAGCUUGUAUUAAGUGUCAAAAUACUCAGUGUGCUGCAUGGAUAUUGUUCUUUUGCGGGGGGUGUCAGCAAACUAAGUGGGUGCAUCAGUCCCAGUUACCUGAGCUGUGGUGCAGAAGCUGUGCAUUUUAUUAGCAGCGGGAUUCCUGGCAAGCAGAACUCCAGGCCUUUACAGGAUUACCUGGCCGCCAAGGGUUACAGUUGUAUGAGUCCCCAGAACAGAAAAUUCUCGCAUGGUUUAGGUGGGAAACCCAGCACUUUGCCAGACGCGCUUUAGGGCAAUCUCAGUUGUGUAUCUUACAGUCUAAGUGUGGUUGGGGUAUUCCCCUCUCCCAGUUAGAUGUAGUAGGUCCGAUUCUGGGGGAUCAAGAUCCUAACCAAGCGUGGGACGAUUGUUUAAGGGCUCUAAAAAGAUUAAGUCUGGGCGGCUCAAGAAAGAAAAGGGGGAGAGGAAAGAAGAGACAUUCUUAACAGUUUGUGGGCAACCUGUUAAUUCCCCAAAUGUCUGGAUGGUUCAAAACAGCGCCCAGGAAAAUCAGGGUGAUGUGGCAGACUUAUGCUGCUGUUUUACUCGUAUUUGCCCUCUUAAUAGACAGCCCAGACAUUGCCAAAGGAGUGGGAACCCACCAAGCAUGGGCCCCACCUCAGCCCAAGACUAAUAUUUGGAUCACCAUGGCAAAUUUAACUAACCAGGAGGCUAUUUGCUUGUCAUUAUCUUCUCCCGGUAAUCCAUUUACAACCUGUUUGGUUGGACUGCCAGCAGAUCCCUGGCCAUGCCCAUCAAAAAUACCCACCUGCAAAACCAAUGACGCCAGGGUCAGUGUAGAUAACUGGGACCAGUGGAUUUCUCAUUUUCCUAUAGCACCGCAGGAACCCCAAGAAUUGGAACUGUUAGGCUCAGUGAUGGCGGAUGCAUGCCUUAGGUUUAAGCAUAAAAGUCAGCUGCCAUCCAAAAACUGUUCUACUAUUGUAACCUCCAGCAUGGCCAUUUACCGUAAUGCAACAACCUGGUGCAAUUAUACCACAAAGAGGGUGUCGAUCUCAUCAAAUGACCCUAUUCAAUUACCAGCAGGUUACUUUUUAAUAUGUGGGGAUCGUGCUUGGCCCGGUGUCCCAUCGAUGCUGAGCGGGGGGCCAUGUACAAUUAGUCGCUUGUCUCUACUCACACCCAAUACGUCAAUGAUCCUUAAUAUGAGCCGCCGCUAUCACAGAAUUAAAAGAAUGGCCCAUGCGUUUACUGCUGACUGCAAAGAUGAUGUAAAAUUUUGGUCCCCAGGGGCCAUAGUGGCAGCAUCCUUUUUAGCUCCAGGGGUAUCAGCAGCAGGUGCCCAUGCCAUUUUAAACAAGCUAGGAUGCUGGCUUGCUAAACAAACUAAUGCCACCUCUUUAGCACUUUCUAGCCUUUUGCUUGAUGUUGAUUCUAUUCGCCAUGCAACGCUUCAGAAUAGAGCUGCAAUUGAUUUCCUUUUACUGGCACAAGGCCAUGGUUGUGAAGAAUUUGAGGGCAUGUGUUGCAUGAACCCCUCUGAUCAUUCCCAGUCCAUUCACUCCCAGCUCUCUGAGCUGCGAAGGUUAACUGGAAAUUUACAGGUAGAAUCAGACUCUGGCAUUGAUGGGUGGCUCAAAUCAUUAAGCUUGGGAUCAUGGUUGCGCUCUAUUGUUAGAGUCAUCAUUAUAGUAGGCAUUAUAGCUUUGUUAGUAGUGUUAGUUUUACCUUGAUCUUGCAUGUGCUUACAGAACAUGGUUCAAAGAAUGAUAUUUGCUGCAUCUAAUCAGACUAUGCUUGUGCAACAGAAAAACAGGGGAAGUGUGGAGGAUUUUGUGAACAGCUGGCUAGCUGACAAAGGUCACACUGACAUAAUACCGUUAGUUAAGCAAGAAGGAGACGAGGAUAGGAGUCAGCAGUCAGUGUCCAAACCUGGCAAAGGCACUGUGCCCUUGGUGCAACAUCAGGAUGGGGGAGAGGAUCGUUAGUUAGAAACAUGAAGAAAAUAUGUGAACAGCUGCAACAUAGUAGCCUCAAGAAUGAUAAGGUAGGCGUAGUUAGCUGAUAAGUAACUAACCAAUAAUGAGCUCGCCUUUUGCAAUAUGUAUUAGCCUCAUUAACACCAAUAUAAAUGUAUGUGCCUAUCAAUAAAGUUUUGAGAUUUGCUGAUCACUCA